rnacentral:tRNA from 1 species
GAUGGUAUAGCUCAAGGGGAGCACACGCUUAGCAUGCAUGAGGUCCUGGGUUCAAUCCCUAGUACCUCCU